rnacentral:pre_miRNA from 1 species
AAAGUACUCCCUUCGUCCCAAAAUUCUUGUCUUAGAUUUGUCUAGAUACGGAUGUAUCAAGUCACAUUUUAGUAUUAGAUACAUCCGUAUCUAGACAGAUCUAAGACAAGAAAUUUGGGACAGAGGGAGUAGUUG